rnacentral:rRNA from 1 species
AUGUGGACCUGUCUUCGUCAGCGCUACGAGCCCUCUGGUGAUGCCUUAUACCUUUCUGUGGUUCGUCAGGAGCAUGCUCUUCAGCAGGGUGACUCUACUGUUGAUGACUUUUAUGCACAGAGUUCUGCUAUCUGGCGCCAGCUUGAUUCUCUCCGCAGUGCUGGUUGUCGUACUUGCCCCUGCUGCCAGGCUGUCCAGGCCGAUUUGGAGUUUCAUCGCGUCUACGAGUUCCUGUCUCGGCUCCGUAAGGAGUUUGAGCCCCGGCGUGCUCAGUUGCUUGCUCGUGGCCGUAUUUCUCUCAUGGAGGCGCUUUCAGAGAUUCGUGCUGAGGAGACCCGCCUACGUGGUGCUGGUUUGCUGGAGGUUCCCUCUGUGCUCGCUACUCGGGUUUCUUCCACUCCGCCGGCUGCACUGCCCCAUUCUCGCUCGAGUGCUCCGCCGCUCUUGCCCACUCCUUCUGGAGGCUCAGGUCGCCCCCGUUCACAUUAUGACUACUGCAACAAUGAUGGUCAUAUUGAGUCCCAGUGCUACACCAAGCGGAAACACCUGCGCAAGGCGCGAUCCUCCUCCUCAGGGACUUCGUCA